GGGUGCAUAGCUCAGUCGGUAGAGCAGCUGACUCUUAAUCAGCGGGUCCAAGGUUCGAGUCCUUGUGCACCCACCA
rnacentral:tRNA from 1 species